rnacentral:rRNA from 1 species
UAGAUCUNCAAGUCAGCGUAGGACAUACCCGCUGAACUCUCAUGCAUAUCAAUAAGCGGAGGAAA